GACGAACGCUGGCGGCGUGCCUAACACAUGCAAGUCGAACGGGGUUAAGUCUUCAGAUUUAACUUAGUGGCGAACGGGUGAGUAACGCGUGAGAAACCUGCCUUUCAGUGGGGGACAACAGUUGGAAACGACUGCUAAUACCGCAUAAUGUUAUUUGGGGGCAUCCCUGGAUGACCAAAGAUUUAUUGCUGAAAGAUGGUCUCGCGUCUGAUUAGCUAGAUGGCGGGGUAACGGCCCACCAUGGCGACGAUCAGUAGCCGGUCUGAGAGGAUGAACGGCCACAUUGGGACUGAGAUACGGCCCAG
rnacentral:rRNA from 1 species